rnacentral:rRNA from 1 species
ACCGUACUCCUACGGGAGGCAGCAGUGGGGAAUUUUGGACAAUGGGGGCAACCCUGAUCCAGCAAUGCCGCGUGAGUGAAGAAGGCCUUCGGGUUGUAAAGCUCUUUUGUCAGGGAAGAAACGGUAGUAGCUAAUAUCUAUUACUAAUGACGGUACCUGAAGAAUAAGCACCGGCUAACUACGUGCCAGCAACCGCGGUAAUACGUAGGGUGCAAGCGUUAAUCGGAAUUACUGGGCGUAAAGCGUGCGCAGGCGGUUGUGUAAGUCAGAUGUGAAAUCCCCGGGCUCAACCUGGGAAUUGCAUGCGAGACUGCACGGCUAGAGUGUGUCAGAGGGGGGUAGAAUUCCACGUGUAGCAGUGAAAUGCGUAGGUAUGUGGAGGAAUACCGAUGGCGAAGGCAGCCCCCUGGGAUAACACUGACGCUCAUGCACGAAAGCGUGGGGAGCAAGCAGGAUUAGAUACCCUGGUAGUCCUUGAC